rnacentral:tRNA from 1 species
GCCUAGUUAGCUUGGUUGGUAGCGCGUGCCUUGUAAGCGCUAGGUCGCGGGUUCGAUUCCUACCCCGGGCA